ACGUAGGGGGCAAGCGUUAUCCGGAUUUACUGGGUGUAAAGGGCGCGUAGGCGGGAAUGUAAGUCAGUGGUGAAAGCCCGGGGCUCAACUCGAGAACUGCCUCUGAUACUGCAUAUCUUGAGUGCGGAAGAGGGAGGCGGAAUUCCAAGUGUAGUAGUGAAAUGCGUAGAUAUCUGGAAGAACACCAGUGGCGAAGGCGGCUUCCUGGACCGUAACUGACGCUGAGGCGCGAAAGCGUGGGGAGCAAACAG
rnacentral:rRNA from 1 species